GUAGGUAUUGCAACAUGAAUACAUAGUGUUGCAAGGCGAACGAGGGGAAGUGAAACAUCUCAGUACCCUUAGGAAAAGAAAUCAAUUGAGAUUCCCUCAGUAGCGGCGAGCGAACGGGGAUCAGCCCAUUAAGUUAUGUGUGUUUUAGUGGAACGCUCUGGGAAGUGCGAACGUAGAGGGUGAUAUUCCCGUACACGAAAGGGCACACAUAAUGAUGACGAGUAGGGCGAGGCACGUGAAACCUUGUCUGAAUAUGGGGGGACCAUCCUCCAAGGCUAAAUACUCCUGACUGACCGAUAGUGAACCAGUACCGUGAGGGAAAGGCGAAAAGAACCCCUGUGAGGGGAGUGAAAUAGAUCCUGAAACCGCAUGCAUACAAGCAGUGGGAGCACCUUCGUGGUGUGACUGCGUACCUUUUGUAUAAUGGGUCAGCGACUUAUAUUCAGUAGCAAGGUUAACCGUAUAGGGGAGCCGUAGAGAAAUCGAGUCUUAAUAGGGCGUUUAGUUGCUGGGUAUAGACCCGAAACCAGGCGAUCUAUCCAUGAGCAGGUUGAAGGUUGGGUAACACUAACUGGAGGACCGAACCCACUGUCGUUGAAAAGCCAGGGGAUGACUUGUGGAUAGGGGUGAAAGGCUAAUCAAGCCUGGUGAUAGCUGGUUCUCCCCGAAAGCUAUUUAGGUAGCGCCUCGGACGAAUACCAUAGGGGGUAGAGCACUGUUUCGGCUAGGGGGUCAUCCCGACUUACCAAACCGAUGCAAACUCCGAAUACCUAUGAGUACUAUCCGGGAGACAGACUGCGGGUGCUAACGUCCGUAGUCAAGAGGAAAACAAUCCAGACCGCCAGCUAAGGCCCCAAAAUCAUAGUUAAGUGGGAAACGAUGUGGGAAGGCAUAGACAGCUAGGAGGUUGGCUUAGAAGCAGCCACCCUUUAAAGAAAGCGUAAUAGCUCACUAGUCGAGUCGGCCUGCGCGGAAGAUGUAACGGGGCUAAAACUAUGUGCCGAAGCUGCGGAUGUAUACUUUGUAUACGUGGUAGGGGAGCGUUCUGUAAGCCGAUGAAGGUGUGUUGAGAAGCAUGCUGGAGGUAUCAGAAGUGCGAAUGCUGACGUGAGUAACGACAAAACGGGUGAAAAACCCGUUCGCCGAAAGACCAAGGGUUCCAGUCCAACGUUAAUCGGGGCUGGGUGAGUCGACCCCUAAGGCGAGGCCGAAAGGCGUAGUCGAUGGGAAAAUGGUUAAUAUUCCAUUACUUCUGUGUAAUGCGAUGAGAGGACGGAGAAGGCUAAAUCAGCCUGGCGUUGGUUGUCCAGGUGAAAGGAUGUAGGCAUGUAUCUUAGGCAAAUCCGGGGUACUCUAUGCUGAGAUCUGAUAGCAAGCUGUACUUGUACAGCGAAGUGGUUGAUGCCAUGCUUCCAGGAAAAGUCUCUAAGCUUCAGUUACACAGGAAUCGUACCCGAAACCGACACAGGUGGUCAGGUCGAGUAGACCAAGGCGCUUGAGAGAACUCUGCUGAAGGAACUAGGCAAAAUGGUACCGUAACUUCGGGAGAAGGUACGCUGUUGUUGGUGAUGGAACUCGCUUCCUGAGCUGACGACAGCCGCAGAAACCAGGCCGCUGCAACUGUUUAUUAAAAACAUAGCACUCUGCAAACACGAAAGUGGACGUAUAGGGUGUGAUGCCUGCCCGGUGCUGGAAGGUUAAUUGAUGGGGUUAGCGUAAGCGAAGCUCUUGAUCGAAGCCCCAGUAAACGGCGGCCGUAACUAUAACGGUCCUAAGGUAGCGAAAUUCCUUGUCGGGUAAGUUCCGACCUGCACGAAUGGCAUAAUGAUGGCGGCGCUGUCUCCAGCAGAGGCUCAGUGAAAUCGAAAUCGCUGUGAAGAUGCAGUGUACCCGCGGCUAGACGGAAAGACCCCGUGAACCUUUACUGCAGCUUGACACUGAACUUUGACCUUACUUGUGUAGGAUAGGUGGGAGGCUUUGAAGCUGGAACGCUAGUUCCAGUGGAGCCGUCCUUGAAAUACCACCCUGGUAAUGUUGAGGUUCUAACUCUGUCCCGUGAUCCGGGACGAGGACCGUGUCUGGUGGGUAGUUUGACUGGGGCGGUCUCCUCCUAAAGAGUAACGGAGGAGUACGAAGGUGCGCUCAGCGUGGUCGGAAAUCACGCGUAGAGUAUAAAGGCAAAAGCGCGCUUAACUGCGAGACCCACAAGUCGAGCAGGUACGAAAGUAGGUCUUAGUGAUCCGGUGGUUCUGUAUGGAAGGGCCAUCGCUCAACGGAUAAAAGGUACUCUGGGGAUAACAGGCUGAUACCGCCCAAGAGUUCAUAUCGACGGCGGUGUUUGGCACCUCGAUGUCGGCUCAUCUCAUCCUGGGGCUGAAGCAGGUCCCAAGGGUAUGGCUGUUCGCCAUUUAAAGAGGUACGCGAGCUGGGUUUAGAACGUCGUGAGACAGUUCGGUCCCUAUCUACCGUGGGCGCUGGAAAUUUGAGAGGAUCUGCUCCUAGUACGAGAGGACCAGAGUGGACGAACCUCUGGUGUACCGGUUGUGACGCCAGUCGCAUCGCCGGGUAGCUAUGUUCGGAAGGGAUAACCGCUGAAAGCAUCUAAGCGGGAAGCCUACCUCAAGAUAAGAUUUCCCUAGGACUUUAUGUCCUCUAAAGAGCCGUUCGAGACUAGGACGUUGAUAGGUUGGAUGUGGAAGCAUAGUGAUAUGUGAAGCUGACCAAUACUAAUUGCUCGUGAGGCUUGACUAUACAACACCCAAGCAGUUG
rnacentral:rRNA from 1 species